GACGAACGCUGGCGGCGUGCCUAAUACAUGCAAGUCGAGCGGGGAUUAUGCUUGAUCGCUUCGGUGAGACGGCAUAUAUCCUAGCGGCGGACGGGUGAGUAACGCGUGGGUAAUCUACCUCGUAGUUCGGGAUAACAGGCCGAAAGGCUUGCUAAUACCGGAUGAGUUCAUGCUUAUGCAUAUAGGCAUGAAGAAAGGGCUAGCCCGCUAUGAGAUGAGCCCGCGUCCCAUUAGCUUGUUGGUGGGGUAAUGGCCUACCAAGGCAACGAUGGGUAGCCGGCCUGAGAGGGUGUACGGCCACACUGGGACUGAGACACGGCCCAGACUCCUACGGGGGCAGCAGUAGGGAAUUUUCGGCAAUGGGCGAAAGCCUGACCGAGCGACGCCGCGUGAGGGACGAAGGCCUUCGGGUUGUAAACCUCUGUCUGGGGGAUGAGAACGGACGGUACCCCGGAGGAACGCCCCGGCUAACGUACGUGCCAGCAGCCGCGGUAAGAGUACUCUAU
rnacentral:rRNA from 1 species